UACCAGCACCCCGAGUGGUCGGGACGAUUAUUGGGCCUAAAGGCAAUCCGUAGCCGGUCAUGCAAGUCCUCCGUUAAAUCCAGCCGCGUCAACGGUUCGGGCUGGCGGAGGAUACUACGUGGCUAGGAGGCGGGAGAGGCAAGCGGUACUCAGGUGGGUAGGGGUAAAAUCCUUUGAUCCAUUGAAGACCACCAGUGGCGAAGGCGGCUUGCCGAACGCGCUCGGAACGGUGACGGGAUGGAAAAGGCCUGGGGGGAUGCCAAACCACGGAUUAAGAU
rnacentral:rRNA from 1 species